rnacentral:misc_RNA from 1 species
UUCGAAAAAGAUUACAGAAAUUUUGUACAAAACGUGGUCGAGGGAACUCUGCCCUCGUUUAAAAAAACACUCUGAGAAUGUCUAAGCGAAGGCUUGAUGUCGACGAUGUUAAGAAAUCGAAAGAGAUGGCUGAUUUUGAAAAUCUGAAGUUAAAAAUUAAACUUAAUCCACAUUCUGGCCGGCCCUACACAGAUAGAUAUUAUGAAAUCCUUAAGAAACGUCUUCAGUUGCCGGUGUGGGAAUAUAAAGAAAGGUUUAUGGAUAUGCUAGAUAAAAAUCAAUGCAUAGUCUUAGUUGGUGAAACAGGGUCUGGGAAGACAACACAGAUUCCUCAAUGGUGUGUGGAAGGCAGAAAAGAUCAGCGGAAAGGUGUAGCUUGCACACAACCCAGAAGAGUGGCAGCCAUGAGUGUUGCACAACGUGUUGCAGAUGAAAUGGAUGUCAUUAUUGGCCAAGAAGUUGGAUACAGCAUUCGAUUUGAAGAUUGUACAAGUGCUAGAACAGUCAUGAAAUAUAUGACUGAUGGUAUGCUUCUUCGAGAAGCAAUGACUGAUCCACUGUUGGAUAAAUAUGACUGUAUUUUGCUUGAUGAAGCUCACGAGAGAACUUUGGCAACAGAUAUACUCAUGGGAUUACUGAAAGAGGUUGUUGCACAAAGAAAAGACAUCAGAGUAGUCGUCAUGAGUGCCACACUUGAUGCUGGCAAGUUUCAAGAAUACUUCAACAAUUGUCCAUUAUUGAAUGUUCCUGGACGUACACAUCCUGUCGAGAUCUUCUACACACCAGAACCUGAACGAGACUAUCUUGAGGCAGCCAUACGAACUGUUGUACAGAUUCACAUGUGUGAAGAAGUCGAGGGUGAUUUAUUGCUUUUCCUCACUGGUCAAGAGGAAAUUGAGGAAGCUUGCAAACGUAUCCGAAAAGAAAUAGAUAAUCUUGGUGGGGAAGUUGGGGAAUUAAAGUGUAUCCCACUGUACUCCACAUUACCCCCCCAGCUACAACAACGCAUUUUCGAAUCAGCCCCAGAGAAUCGUCCAAAUGGUGCAAUAAGUCGCAAGAUUGUUGUCUCAACCAAUAUUGCAGAGACAUCAUUGACUAUUGACGGUGUUGUCUUUGUUAUUGACCCAGGAUUUUCUAAACAAAAGGUUUACAAUCCUCGUAUCCGAGUGGAAUCCUUGCUUGUGUCUGCUAUUUCCAAAGCAAGCGCCCAGCAACGGGCAGGAAGAGCUGGUCGAACAAAACCUGGCAAAUGUUUUCGUUUGUACACGGAGAAAGCUUUCCAAACAGAGAUGCAAGACAACACGUAUCCUGAAAUAUUGAGAUCAAAUCUUGGGACGGUUGUUUUACAUCUUAAAAAACUUGGAAUUGACGAUCUUGUGCAUUUUGAUUUUAUGGAUCCGCCUGCGCCAGAGACGCUGAUGAGAGCCCUGGAAUUGUUGAAUUAUCUCGGUGCGUUGGACGACAAUGGUGAUUUGACGGAGCUUGGUUCAAUGAUGGCUGAGUUUCCACUGGAUCCUCAACUUGCCAAGAUGGUCAUCGCAAGUUGUGAAUUCAACUGCUCCAACGAGAUUCUCUCUAUAACAGCCAUGUUAUCAGUUCCACAAUGUUUCCUUCGUCCAAACGAGGCUAAAAAGGCGGCAGACGAGGCUAAGAUGAAGUUCGCUCAUAUUGACGGAGAUCAUCUGACGCUUCUUAAUGUUUACCACGCUUUCAAACAAAAUCACGAGGAUUCGCAAUGGUGUUACGAUAACUUCGUGCAGUUCCGUUCGCUGAAGUCAGCCGACAGUGUCCGAGAUCAACUCGUUCGAAUCAUGGAUCGUUUCAAUCUUGCCCGACGUAGCACAGACUUCAACAGCAAAGAUUAUUAUAUAAACAUAAGAAAAGCACUUGUAUCUGGAUUUUUUAUGCAGUUCUGUAGAUGAUUACUGACCGUUAAAUAUCAUUGCACGUGAACUCUGCGAGACAGGUUGCGCAUCUUGAGAGGUCUGGCCACUACUUGACAGUCAAGGACAACCAGGUUGUACAACUCCACCCGUCUACUGUGUUAGACCAUAAACCUGAAUGGG